rnacentral:rRNA from 1 species
GGUUUUGGGAAGGCAUUGCCUGCCAGUGACAACUGUUUAACGGCCGCGGUAUCCUGACCGUGCAAAGGUAGCAUAAUCAUUUGUUCUCUAAAUAAGGACUUGUAUGAAUGGCCGCACGAGGGUUUUACUGUCUCUUACUUCCAAUCAGUGAAAUUGACCUUCCCGUGAAGAGGCGGGAAUGCACAAAUAAGACGAGAAGACCCUAUGGAGCUUUAACUAACCAACCCAAAGAGAAUAGAUUUAACCAUUAAGGAAUAACAACAAUCUCCAUGAGUUGGUAGUUUCGGUUGGGGUGACCUCGGAGAAUAAAAAAUCCUCCGAGCGAUUUUAAAGACUAGACCCACAAGUCAAAUCACUCUAUCGCUCAUUGAUCCAAAAACUUGAUCAACGGAACAAGUUACCCUAGGGAUAACAGCGCAAUCCUAUUCAAGAGUCCAUAUCGACAAUAGGGUUUACGACCUCGAUGUUGGAUCAGGACAUCCUGAUGGUGCAACCGCUAUCAAAGGUUCGUUUGUUCAACGAUUAAAGUCCUACGUGAUCUGAGUUCAGACCGGA